rnacentral:tRNA from 1 species
GGAGGGGUGCCCCGAACUGGAAAGGGACCGGUCUCGAAAACCGGCGGGGGGAAACCCCCUUGUGGGUUCGAGUCCCACCCCCUCCGCCA